rnacentral:rRNA from 1 species
UACGGAGGGUGCAAGCGUUAUCCGGAAUCAUUGGGUUUAAAGGGUCCGCAGGCGGAUUUAUGAGUCAGUGGUGAAAGCCUACAGCUCAACUGUAGAACUGCCAUUGAUGCUGUAAGUCUUGAAUUUGGUCGAAGUGGGCGGAAUAUGACAUGUAGCGGUGAAAUGCUUAGAUAUGUCAUAGAACACCGAUAGCGAAGGCAGCUCACUAGUCCAGUAUUGACGCUCAUGGACGAAAGCGUGGGGAGCAAACAGG